rnacentral:rRNA from 1 species
AGACGUCUACAUUAGAUACCCCCGUAGUCCCAGCCGUAAACUAUGCGCGUUAGGUGUAUCGGUGACCACGAGUUACCGAGGUGCCGAAGGAAACCGUGAAACGUGCCGCCUGGGAAGUACGGUCGCAAGGCUGAAACUUAAAGGAAUUGGCGGGGAGCACCACAACAGGUGGAGCCUGCGGUUUAAUUGGACUCAACGCCGGGAAGCUCACCGGAUAGGACAGCAGAAUGAUUGCCGGGCUGAAGACCCUGCAUGACUAGCUG